ensembl:lncRNA
UUGUAAUUUAAUUGAUCUGGUGGUGACCCUGGACAUCAGUAUUUCUUAAAAGCUACCCAGGUGAUCGUAUUGAGCAGUUAGGAUUGAGAAUCGCUGGUCUAAGUCAGUCAUGGCCAUCUGUUCCCCUUUAACAGGAGCUGACUUGGGAGUCAGGUGGGAAUGAGCACCAACUCUGGCUGAUGGACCACAAUGGGAGGUCCACUGGGUGGCGAGAGUGGAUUCUGGGAAAGCUUUCCCAUCCUGGUAUAAAGACAAGCAUGAGGUGGAAGUGGCUCUGUGGGCCGCCUUCUCUCCCUUUCUGCUGUGGAUGCUGUUGUGUAAGAGUUUGAUGGUUGGAGCUGUGGCAGCCAUCUGAUGACCAUGAGGGGAUGAGAUUGAGGUUGAAAAGCCACAAUACUGAGCGUGGUAGAGAGGGAGGAUAACAAGAGCCUGGCUUUUUUAUGACAUCUCUGAGCUGCCAGACCAACCCUGCAUGGCCUCUGUCUGCACUUCCUCGACCUGUGGACGUGGCUUUAUUUGGAAAUAGGGUCUUUGCGAUGUCAUUAAGGAUCUUGAGAGAUCAUCCUGGAUUAUCCAAGUGGGCCCUAAAUCCAAUGCCAGUGUCCUUAUGAGAGACGCACAGAGACAGACAGGAGGAGGCACAGGCCAUGUGAAGACAGAGGUGGAGACAGCGAUGCGAGCCACGCGGCCACGGGUCGCCGGAAGCUGGAAGAGGCGAGGAGCAGAUUCUCCCAGAGCAGCCGGAGGGAGCACAGCUCUGCCGGACCUCAGACCGCUGGCUCCCAGAACGGGGAGAGAAGGAAUUCCUAUUCUUUUAAAACACGCAGUUUGUGGUCAUUUGCUGCAGCUGCCACAGGAAACUCAAACAGUGGGGAAGCAUUACAAUGAAGCUAUGAGGGAGGCGAGGCAGAGAACUCCGCCAGGAAGCCAUCAGCUACAUUUUCGUGAACAAUCGACUCUUAAACUCAUCCGUUUCUCCAACAAAUGUUUGGUGAACCACUGCUCUGGCCUAACCAUGGGAUAGACGCAGGGGUUGUGGCACUGAACAAGAGAGACCGCAUUCCUGAAUUCACAGAGGAAGACAGAAUGUCAAACAAGCCAUUAGGACCCCACGGCGAGUGCCAUGAGAAGGGGCUGUGGGGCUACACUGAGGGACAUUCCGUUUUUGGUGGUCAAGGUAGGCUUCCAGGAGGAGGUGGCAUCUGAGCUGAGAAAUGAAUAAGAAGUCAAUUAGCAAGUGGAGGGAAAGGGGCACAGAGUAGGCCCUCAGAUGGCAGCUCCUUUUCUUCCUUCAUAGUGUGUCCACAUCUGGCCUCUGAUAUGUAGAAAUGGGUACUACAGGUGGACCGGACCAGACCACAAGCCCAAACCGUACCAGGCACAGACGCCUCCCAAAGCUCAAGGCCAGUGCUGGGUGCAUCCGGCAUGCUCAGGGAAACCUGAGUUCAAGUCCUGGCCCUGCCUGACACUGCCAGCUGGGGUGUUCAGAAUGUCAUUUCACUUCUCUGAACCCAAAUCUCUUCUUUGAUUACUCCUUCUUGGGCCUACCACGCCCCGAGGUCACGUCCUCCAGGGUCUAGAUACAGACACUGGAUUUCAUUUGUCUCAGACAAGGUCAUCAAGGUCAAUGCCUUGGUUAAACAGAGGUGGAGACAGCCUAGGGAGCACCCCUCUAGGGAGCACUCCUUAGGGAGCACCACUCUAGGGAGCACCCCUCCCUGGGCAGUUUUGUAGCAGAAUUGUCUGCAGCUCCAGCACUGCUCCCGGUUCCUCCAGUGCCUGCCUCCUGAGCACACGUGGCUUUCCUGGAGUCCAGCUCCUCUGUUGUGGGCAGCUGCUCCUGUCCUAGGCCCCUGCAGUGCACCAGCAGCCACCGACUUCCCCCUGACGCCCCCCUUGGAUGGUUUUGUAGUGGAGAACCUCCGGGGAGACACCUCCCUGUGCGCAGCCAUCCCCAGCACCCUAAAGAGCAGAUUUCCACCAAGUUCCAGAAGGCAGAUUUCCAGAAACAUCUACCACCUCACUACUGAGGUCUGGAUGUCAGCCCUGGGACCAGAGGGCGUCUUCCCUGGGUGUUCUAUCUCAUCUUUAGGGGCCAAUCCCUCAUUUCUUCAAUCCCCUAUUAUAGUUAAUAAUUCCUUGUACUAAAGUUUCCCUGUUUUAAUCACCAUAUGGUUUCCUUCUCCUGGUUGGGCCCAGACUUAUGCAUCAUGCAUAUAUGUAUGUGUGCGUGUUUGUGUACACACACAUGCACAUGUACACACACAUGUAAAGUGGCACAGGAGGGGGGUUCUUUCUCACUUCUAAUUUAAACAUUCUUAUAAUGGCUUAGGUUUUUUUUAAACAGUCACGUGUCCCCUUCGCAAUUUUAAGGGUAAUUAGGUUGUGAGGCGCAGUGGUUGAGAAUACAGGCUCUGGAGCUGGGUGGAAUGUGGUCAAUCCCAGCUCUGCCACGUACUCCCUGUGGGAUCAGGAACAAGUCACUUAACCUCUUGGUGUCACAGUUCCUUCAUCUGCAAAAUGGAGGUAAUAAUACUCCCCAUUUCCUCUGGGUGUUCUUUAUGCGUGCAAAGCCCUCAAAAAAAUAUUAGCUGCUGUGACAUGUUUUAAUGCAAAUUGGGCGUGAGAGGGAGGAGGAAGACGAACCAGAGAGAGAAGAAGGAAGGACGUGCUGGCGGGAAAGGUUGCGAGGAGCAGGGAGGUGCCAACAGUUGAAGGCGGGGGAUGGGAAUCACGAGUAAUGGGUCCUGGGAUAAGAGGAGAGCAAGAAAGGGAGGCCUCCGUGGGCCGGGGCGAUUAGGAAAGGCAGCACGAGGGGAGGCAACAUUUCAGAUGGGCCUCAGGAAGGAGUGGAGAGAAUGGGAGAGAGCUCACUGGGGUAGGGAGAAAGAUACGAGCAGGACUCAGAGAGAGGUAGCGAUACGGCGUGGCUGAGGCUUGAGCUCUGUGACUGAACAGUCAUCGGUAAUCCCUAUAGCCCCAACUCUAACAUGGGUAUAGCAACAUAGUGCAGCCGUGUGCCGCAUAACAUUCUGAUCAACGAUGGACCACAUGCGCAAUGGUGGUCCCAUACGAUGAGUGCCACAGAGCCUGGGUGAGCAGCGGGCCGUGCCAUCUCUGUUCGUGUAAGUGCGCUCUGUGACGUUCACACAGCAAUGAAAUCACCCAAUGACACAUUUCCCGGAACAUCUUUUUGUUGUGAAGCGACACACGGCUGUAGCAUUCGAUUUUUGUGAAUUUGAAAUAGUACGAUAGACCAAAUAUUAACGAAGCUUGCUUGGUGCACCCAAGUUGAAACAAUUCGGAACCCCUUCCCCCUAAAUUUUAAAUGCAUCGGGAAUCAUCAAAUUUCCAAAACGACUCAGAAUGUGCGGCUGAGGAUUUUCAUUGAUUUGAUGACCCCUGCUCCAUGCAUGUCUUUGAGAUAUAGAAACAUUUGCCAGUUUGGGUCAGGCUUGGUGGUGAAUUCUAUAAAAUUAAAAUUAGGCCAAAUCUUUAGGAGCAAGCCCUAGAUACAAAAGGUGUGCCAUCCUAUCUCUGCUCCAUGGUCCAGUGUCCAGGGCUGAGUUCUCCAUGAAGG